UAUUACAGGCAUGUUGGGGAUCAGUGAUGCUGGGUGUGGUGCCUCAUGAUGCAUGGUAAGUACUUUACUCACUACACCAGCUCCUUAGCCUCAAGAGCACCCCUCCUUCGUUGAAGUACCCUUCAACAGGGGACUGGAUCUUGGCCAACACUAAAAUUUGUAACUUUAGCAGAUCAGUUAAAAACAUAAAGGAAAAUCUAUGAGAAGCCAUUCUAGAAUGCUAAAUGAAAACAGAAGCUCGCUGAGCUCUUUGUGACUUGCAUGGAACCCCCUCCCUAGAGCCCUCAACCUCAAGAUGGCCACAGCAUUGGCACCUGAUGAAUCUCCAUGAGCACUCUCUCCUAGUCCCCAAGGGUUUCAUUCUACAACUGCCUGGUGCUGUAAAAGGGAUGAGAGAAUUUCUUCUACUUUCACCCCAUUACCAGACUUUUGGAAGACUCUACAGCAUUCCCAUCAAAGCCACUGGGGCACCCUCGCCCCAGGGCCAGUUUCAGAGAACUCCCUUUUCUGAUGAGCAGUUGUGUUCUUUCUUAAUCCGCAUCUUCCCUUCCUUCUGGCAAACUAUGAAAGACUCUCUACAGGGAAAAGUAUGCAGGAGAGCAAACAGAGCAAGGCAUGGAUUUCCUAAGACGGAUUCUCAACUGUUGCUAUGGACAAGGGAACAGUUAACAGGGUAAACACCAGGAAACGAUCUAGAAAGCUGCCCUAGGUUGAACGGUGGACACAGUGAGGCUCAGAUGUUACUGCUGAGGAGCAGAGUUCCACCUUCCUUGGCCCCCAGCCACCACAGCACUGGCCUGGGCGGCAGGAUUUUGGAUGCAAUGGAGACCAAAGCAGCAGUGACUCUGUGAGAGCUUUGGAAAAUUCCUCCAGAAAUUUCCCAUUCUAAGCACACCAGGGUCAAAUAACAGAUAUCAUCAUUUCCUAAGUCCUUCCACUGCCACCUGCCAAGGAGGGCCAAUCCCACCCACCCAGAAGGCAGCACCAAAAGACUGUGGCCUGUUAUUACAAAAUUAAGCAGACCUUCUAAGGAGGCUGGAAGACUCGAGCUGGCGCAUGUUCAGAUUCCCUGGAGGCUGGCUAAGAGUCAGGCUUCUGCUGCCCUGCACAGGGGUCUUUUUUGUCUACAAGGUGACAUGACGUCCAACCUCUGAGAAGGACGCGAGCCUGGUACCUCUGCUUCCGUUCUGCC